AAUCAGUGAAUUUUCCCCUAGAGGGUUUCUUUCAUUGAUCUCCCCACUUUGGUGUUCUGCCUUUUUUUCCCCACAUUGAUAAAUUUGGAAAAAUUUGCAUAAGCAGAUCUGAUACAUUUCACCUUCCAAGUUUAUAGGACACAAAAUUUGCACAUCCAACAAACAUUUGCAUUUGUUUGGAGUUGUCGUUUUCUAACUGGUGAAUUUCAUUCGGUUCUGUUUUUCCUUUUAUUCAUCUUUUGUUUGCUCUCCCUUAUCUCUUUCUGACUAGUUUAUAACCCCGCCACUACUUUCACCAGAUGGCUGUUUACUCUGUUUUUGCUAAGCAGUUGCAGCUGAAAACUAUGCUACAACUGUAUAAAUGCAGGCAAUGUGGGACUGCAGGCUGGAAAACCACAAGAAGGAGCUAAAAGAUGCUGAAUAAUAGUGUAAAGUUGAGUUUAAGUACAUAGGCAAAAGGUCUUUGAUUCUUGCAUAAGAGAAACACAGUUUACAUUAAAAAAAAUCAUGUUAACAAAAAACUGAUUAUAGCCACAUUAAAAAAGUAUUUGAUGCCCAUAGAUUUAAAAAGAUUUCAUUAGGGUUUGUUGGGAGACUUGGCAGUACUUAUGUAUUUAACAAUGAAUAUGCACAGAAAACUCCAGUCUUAUGAUUCACAAUCUGAUGAGAAACCCUUUGAUAGGAAAUGAGAACUGAAAGCAAGCGGAGGAAAGUUUAUCUAGACAAAGAGCAGAGUGGCUUUUAGUGGUGGACUGAGUCUUUUCUUCCAUGUUUAUGAUUAUGGUGGAAAUCACCACAUGCUAGCACAGCUGCUAACACUGCCCUGCAAUAAUCCAGGAAUUCAGAUCUCUUCUGAAUGACAGUUAAGGUGAAAAGGGUCUAAAGUCUCCUCCAGCCUGAGACUUUGGACUGUUUUUACUGCUGUUUUAGAAAGGUGUGGUGGUCAAAGUCUUGCUUUAUGAUGCUCUACCUGGCACUUGAAAUGAGAUUUUGUGUUGAUUAGACUUUUUAGUCAUCAUCUAAAGGUACAAUUAAAUAGAAACGGGAUGAAACUACAUAUGGCAGAAAACAAAAGCCUAAUAAACUAUGGCUCUCUAGUUUGAUGCGGGUGACAGGUACUGUCAAAAUGAAUGUGAGGAGGAUUUAAACAGUAAAGUAAACAGCCAGUCAUUUUUAAUUAUUAAUAACCACUUAUUCCUUAUCCUGUGUUUUGUUUUGUCUUCUCUUGUUACUGACAACCUGAUGUCUUGUAUAUAGGUAACACAGCAAUCUGAUAGCCAGAGAAUGCACUUUGGCUUUGGUCCUAAAGGAUUAUUGUAAUUCUUUUUUUCUUUUUUAACCCUUCUUACUAAAAUUCAAACAGUUUCUGUCACAAAUUGACUGAUUUAGGUUGGAGUGCUAGCGGGAAAUUUGGAAGUAAAGGUUUUCACUUGAAUUCCACAUUAGACUGAUGGUAUCAUUAGAUGGUACAAACACAUUCACCCUUUCUUGGACUUCUUGGCUAUAAAAUUGCCUCUUUAAAAUAAUGACGCUUCCUAACUUGAAACCACUGGAGCUUCAGAUAAAGUCACUUCAUUUAAUUUACCAAAGUGGACGGUUUAUUAAUGUGUUGCCAUGUCAGUUAGUUGGGCCCCGUCUUGUGGCCAAAGCAAAAGAAUAAAACAAAGCACAUCACUUAGCAGCUGAGGAUUUGUAACAUUCAGUUUUCCUGUAGCACAAUGAUGACCGUUUCACCUGCUAAACGACUGGAAAAAUGUUAAUUAAAAAAAAAAAAGACAGCUGCCAUCUCUGAAAAACAACCAAACAAACUCUGAAUUUGAUAACUUCACUUUUGAACCGUUGACCUCAGCCUUGAAGUUGCAUAUCUGUAUUUGUGUUCAAGGUCUAUGUGUCACUGGAAUUUUUAUUUUUUUUCCUCUUUUGUCAUUUGGGACUGUGGAAUAAGACCAGUGUGAGAAGACUGAAGAUUGUAAUAUAAAUGUGCCAACAAAUAAACACCAGUAUUUCACAUUCAG
ensembl:lncRNA